UGACAAUGGAGAGGUUUGGGUUUGUUAUUUAUGUAACAUUGAAUGUGUAGGGUACAGUAAGAGUGUUGAAUGUGUAGAGUAAGAUAAGAGUGUUGAAUGUGUAGGGUUCAGUUAGAGUGUUGAAUGUGUAGGGUUCAGUAAGAGUGUUGAAUGUGUAGGGUACAGUUAGAGUGUUGAAUGUGUAGAGUAAGAGUGUUGAAUGUGUAGGGUUCAGUUAGAGUGUUGAAUGUGUAGGGUUCAGUUAGAGUGUUGAAUGUGUAGGGUACAGUUAGAGUGUUGAAUGUGUAGAGUAAGAGUGUUGAAUGUGUAGGGUACAGUAAGAGUGUUGAAUGUGUAGAGUAAGAUAAGAGUGUUGAAUGUGUAGGGUUCAGUUAGAGUGUUGAAUGUGUAGGGUUCAGUUAGAGUGUUGAAUGUGUAGGGUUCAGUAAGAGUGUUGAAUGUGUAGGGUUCAGUAAGGUAUUCUGCCUUCC
ensembl:lncRNA